rfam:Dipodomys ordii contig_71949, whole genome shotgun sequence.
AGGAAGGUGGCUCAGUGGUAGAGCACUUGCCUUGCAUGCAUGAGGCCCUGCAUUCCAUUCCUC